UACGAAGGACUGGCCUUCUACAUGUGGCAUGGGGUGCCAGUUAGCGAUGUAAUAUAGCAUCCUUGACCUGUAAUUCGAACUUGACUCCCUUGUUAUCUUUAUAUAAUUUUAAAAUUCACUUUGAUGUAGAUUCUUAAGAUUUCUGGUCUAAAAUUCUUUCAGCAGGUCUACGGCCAGGCUUUCUCACGUUGAUGUUUUUAAACUACAUACUGAUAUUUGCUUUGGGAUUUACAAAUGGAUAUCAUUGCAUGACAUCAUCAUGUUCGCACCCGAUGCUACAACAUGUCCUCGAGUCUCGCCACCUGCCUCCAUUUGGGGUCUCAGCAUUUGAUUGCUGGGUACGGGCUUGGCAAUCCCGGAUUCAUGAGCUGGGUACUGGUGGGCAAGCUGGUCAGCAACAGAACAUUUGAGAAUAAGUGCUCCU